rnacentral:rRNA from 1 species
AUUGAACGCUGGCGGCAGGCCUAACACAUGCAAGUCGAGCGGAUGAAGGGAGCUUGCUCCUGGAUUCAGCGGCGGACGGGUGAGUAAUGCCUAGGAAUCUGCCUGGUAGUGGGGGAUAACGUCCGGAAACGGGCGCUAAUACCGCAUACGUCCUGAGGGAGAAAGUGGGGGAUCUUCGGACCUCACGCUAUCAGAUGAGCCUAGGUCGGAUUAGCUAGUUGGUGGGGUAAAGGCCUACCAAGGCGACGAUCCGUAACUGGUCUGAGAGGAUGAUCAGUCACACUGGAACUGAGACAUGGUCCAGACGCCUACGGGAGGCAGCAGUGGGGAAUAUUGGACAAUGGGCGAAAGCCUGAUCCAGCCAUGCCGCGUGUGUGAAGAAGGUCUUCGGAUUGUAAAGCACUUUAAGUUGGGAGGAAGGGCAGUAAGUUAAUACCUUGCUGUUUUGACGUUACCAACAGAAUAAGCACCGGCUAACUUCGUG